UACGGAGGGAGCUAGCGUUGUUCGGAACUACUGGGCGUAAAGCGCACGUAGGCGGCGCAGCAAGUCAGGGGUGAAAUCCCGGGGCUCAACCCCGGAACUGCCUCUGAAACUGCAGUGCUAGAAUCUUGGAGAGGCGAGUGGAAUUCCGAGUGUAGAGGUGAAAUUCGUAGAUAUUCGCAAGAACACCAGUGGCGAAGGCGGCUCACUGGCCCGGUACUGACGCUGAGGUGCGAAAGCGUGGGGAGCAAACAGG
rnacentral:rRNA from 1 species